rnacentral:rRNA from 1 species
AUUGAACGCUGGCGGCAUGCUUUACACAUGCAAGUCGAACGGCAGCACGGACUUCGGUCUGGUGGCGAGUGGCGAACGGGUGAGUAAUACAUCGGAACGUGCCCAGUUGUGGGGGAUAACUACUCGAAAGAGUAGCUAAUACCGCAUGAGAACUGAGGUUGAAAGCAGGGGAUCGCAAGACCUUGCGCAACUGGAGCGGCCGAUGGCAGAUUAGGUAGUUGGUGGGAUAAAAGCUUACCAAGCCGACGAUCUGUAGCUGGUCUGAGAGGACGACAAGCCACACUGGGACUGAGACACGGCCCAGACUCCUACGGGAGGCAGCAGUGGGGAAUUUUGGACAAUGGGCGAAAGCCUGAUCCAGCAAUGCCGCGUGCAGGAUGAAGGCCUUCGGGUUGUAAACUGCUUUUGUACGGAACGAAAAGCUUCGGGUUAAUACCCUGGAGUCAUGACGGUACCGUAAGAAUAAGCACCGGCUAACUACGUGCCAGCCGCCGCCGUAA